rnacentral:rRNA from 1 species
UACGUAGGGCGCAAGCGUUAUCCGGAAUUAUUGGGCGUAAAGAGCUCGUAGGCGGUCUGUCGCGUCUGCCGUGAAAACCCGAGGCUUAACCUCGGGCUGGCGGUGGAUACGGGCAGACUAGAGGUAGGUAGGGGAGAAUGGAAUUCCCGGUGUAGCGGUGAAAUGCGCAGAUAUCGGGAGGAACACCGAUGGCGAAGGCGGGUCUCUGGGCCGAUACUGACGCUGAGGAGCGAAAGCGUGGGGAGCGAACAGG